CAGAGUUGCAAGACUCCCUAAACCAUUGUGAACCUACCUUCUACCGUUGCUUCGGCGGGCGGGCCCCAGCGCCCCCCCCGGCCCCCCCGCGGGCGCCCGCCGGAGGAUACCCAAACUCUUUGACAUUAGUGGCCUCUCUGAGUAUUCUUUACUGAAUAAGUCA
rnacentral:misc_RNA from 1 species